CAGGCCUUGACAUCCAAUGAACUUUCCAGAGAUGGAUUGGUGCCUUCGGGAACAUUGAGACAGGUGCUGCAUGGCUGUCGUCAGCUCGUGUCGUGAGAUGUUGGGUUAAGUCCCGUAACGAGCGCAACCCUCGCCCUUAGUUGCCAUCAUUCAGUUGGGCCCUCUAAGGGGACUGCCGGUGAUAAGCCGCGAGGAAGGUGGGGAUGACGUCAAGUCCUCAUGGCCCUUACGGGCUGGGCUACACACGUGCUACAAUGGUCGGUACAGAGGGUUGCCAAGCCGCGAGGUGGAGCUAAUCUCACAAAACCGAUCGUAGUCCGGAUCGCAGUCUGCAACUCGACUGCGUGAAGUCGGAAUCGCUAGUAAUCGCGAAUCAGAAUGUCGCGGUGAAUACGUUCCC
rnacentral:rRNA from 1 species